rnacentral:rRNA from 1 species
GACGAACGCUGGCGGCGUGCUUAACACAUGCAAGUCGAACGAAGAGCGACGGAAGCUUGCUUCUAUCAAUCUUAGUGGCGAACGGGUGAGUAACGCGUAAUCAACCUGCCCUUCAGAGGGGGACAACAGUUGGAAACGACUGCUAAUACCGCAUACGAUCUAACCUCGGCAUCGAGGAUAGAUGAAAGGUGGCCUCUACAUGUAAGCUAUCACUGAAGGAGGGGACUGCGUCUGAUUAGCUAGUUGGAGGGGUAACGGCCCACCAAGGCGAUGAUCAGUAGCCGGUCUGAGAGGAUGAACGGCCACAUUGGGACUGAGACACGGCCCAGACUCCUACGGGAGGCAGCAGUGGGGAAUCUUCCGCAAUGGACGAAAGUCUGACGGAGCAACGCCGCGUGAGUGAUGACGGCCUUCGGGUUGUAAAGCUCUGUUAAUCGGGACGAAAGGCCUUCUUGCGAAUAGUGAGAAGGAUUGACGGUACCGGAAGAGAAAGCCACGGCUAACUACGUG